AUUCUACUAAUGGUGGCUAAUAUUCCUUAGAGCACUUCCGAGGUGGUGGAUAUCUUCAUGGAGUAUGAGUGGAGUGUGGGUGGAGGUCUUUGGUGAUCUUGCUUCUUUGGUGAUUUCCUGAUGCGGUGGUGGUUUGGUGUCUGCUUCCUCGAUGCCUGAAUGCUUCACCUGGCAGCUCCUUUUAUACCCGCAGCAGAGGCUUCGGGAGUCUCAUCCUUUUCUGUUGCCUGGAUAGCUGGACGGCGCUCCUCUCCUCAAUAAUUGUCCUGGCUACAGUAGAGUCACUGUUUAUUUCUUUUGCCUUAUCCUCUAUCGCGCACUAUCUUCUCGUGAUAUUCUGGAUGCUACUUGGUAUUGUCUUCCAUGCCCAAAUCAUUAACGUCGCAGACUUUAAUCACAACAUCAUGGCAUGUAAUAUGCAGUAUUAUUCUACUAUUCUUCCCCUGGCCGAAUUGUUGUUAACACCUUAAAAAUAGAGGGAA
rnacentral:lncRNA from 1 species